GCUUGUAGGCGUAGUGUAAGUCUUCCAAGACAAGCAGUGCCUACUCCUGGGAGUAUACCUGCUAAAGAACACCCGACUAACACUCCUUUGGGCACUCGCAGGUUAGAGAACAGGGAAAGGAGCAGCAGGGGAGUCUCCAUCCUGGGCUUCAGAAGAAAUGAAUCUCGCAGGAGGCAGGAGGAGGCGGCGUCCGGGCUGGCCUUGGACUGAGGAUCCUGAACUUGAGACCCAUAUUUAAGCAGGCCGGCUGAGAGGGGGCAUUUGCAUGAGGGUCUGCAGGAGGCUACAAACAGGGCCAGGCUAGGAGUGGGGUAUCCCCAGGGGGAACCACUGGCAUCUGGCUUUGAGUCCUUUGGAUAUAGGUGCCCUGGAAACCUGCUGAACAGGGACACAAUUCAGUUAGCCCAGGAAGCAGCAGGGGCCAGCCCCUCGGUGGGCUUGUGGGGCUGGGUGUGCAGGGGCUCCAACAAAGGCUGCAUCGGCAUUGCUUUCACAGAGACCAGCCCUUGCUUGGACAUAAGGAUUCAACCACGUGAGGAAAUCUAUUGCACGUGAUGAUGGGCCCAGUAAUGGGACCAAGCUGGGCUAUUCCACGUGGGGAAGGUGGCUGAAUCCACUGCUCCCUCUUGAAAUCUCUUCUCUGCUGAAUACGCCAAAAAGGACCUGCCCGGGAUUGCCUCGGAUGGGAGCGAUAUUUGUAGAGCUGGGAUGGGACAAUUUUUGACAGGAGUGAUGGAAUUGAAAGUGUGAUUUGCUCUCCCA